GACGAACGCUGGCGGCGUGCUUAACACAUGCAAGUCGAACGGAAAGGCCCUGCUUUUGUGGGGUGCUCGAGUGGCGAACGGGUGAGUAACACGUGAGUAACCUGCCCUUGACUUUGGGAUAACUUCAGGAAACUGGGGCUCAUACCGGAUAGGAGCUCCUGCUGCAUGGUGGGGGUUGGAAAGUUUCGGCGGUUGGGGAUGGACUCGCGGGUUAUCAGCUUGUUGGUGUGGUAGUGGCUUACCAAGGCUUUGACGGGUAGCCGGCCUGAGAGGGUGACCGGCCACAUGGGGACUGAGAUACGGCCCAGACUCCUACGGGAGGCAGCAGUGGGGAAUAUUGCACAAUGGGCGGAAGCCUGAUGCAGCAACGCCGCGUGCGGGAUGACGGCCUUCGGGUUGUAAACCGCUUUCGCCUGUGACGAAGCGUGAGUGACGGUAAUGGGUAAAGAAGCACCGGCUAACUACGUG
rnacentral:rRNA from 1 species